rnacentral:rRNA from 1 species
CGGACGGGUGAGUAACGCGUGGGUAACCUGCCUCAUACAGGGGGAUAACAGUUAGAAAUGACUGCUAAUACCGCAUAAGCGCACAGAAUCGCAUGAUUCGGUGUGAAAAACUCCGGUGGUAUGAGAUGGACCCGCGUCUGAUUAGCUAGUUGGUGGGGUAAAGGCCUACCAAGGCGACGAUCAGUAGCCGACCUGAGGGGGUGAUCGGCCACAUUGGGACUGAGACACGGCCCAAACUCCUACGGGAGGCAGCAG